GUUUAUACGUGCAAUUUAUUUUCUGCCCCCAGUCCCAUCAAGGCCAGCCUCUCCCUUGAGUAGCAAAAGGCUGAGGAACAACACUUCAAUCUCUCAUAACCCUGAGCUGCGCCUAAGAUCAAAAGCUACAGAAAGGGACCGAAGUCAGUAACCUUAUUAAAGUCUGUGAAACAAAUGUCAGGAAACACUAGCUAGCGGGGAUCUGCCAGAGACUCUUCCCAAAGCACACCAGGACCCAGCUCCAGAGAUGGCAAAGAGCCAAGACUGCCAUCCCUCCCCCAUUUGCUGUGGGCGGAUCUUUCACACAGGAGCCAAUAGCCUCUCUGAAAAGUGGGUGUGUCUGCCCAACAACCUAAUCUGGGGAUCACAGGACUGACCUAGCUCUUGCACCACGUCAAAUAAACAUCCUUUGCCCACUAAAACAACUCUAAAAUGCAACAUUGUAACUAAAGUGGUUUGUCAAAGGAUACACCUGUAACCCUAGCUCUGGAGAGCUAGAGGCAGGAGGAUUGAUAAUUUGAGGCCAACCUGGGCUACACAGUAACAUUCUGUCUCAAAAAGGAAAAAAGAAAAGAUGAAAGAAGUAAUUACAUCAGAAACUGUAAUUAACAGAGAUUACGAGUACUCGAGGCUUCUGAAAUAGCCCUGGAAAAACUGAGCAUGCUGGGGUAGCAAAAGCAGAUGUUGUGUGUGAAUUAUCUAAGAUGGCGAACUGUGAUCUGGUGAACCAGCAGCAGCAGCUGCUCAUUCAUGGAGGCCUUAAAGGUGAAGCCUUGGCAACCUUGUCUGCUGAGUUCUGGAGCAAGGGGAGUUAAGGGUUCAGCUUUCCAGGGAAACUUAAACCUUUCCUUUCACUAAGUUCCCCCCAGAGAACCAUUCUAAUUACAGAAAUCUGACACUAACACCUCUGUAGCUGUAGGUGACACGCACAGAGUUGAGACCUUUCGGGAAGAUAAUAUAUGGCUAUAUAUCAAACGAGCAAUUUUUUGAAACCUCUGGCCCUUUUCUAAAUUCUUUCUUCAUAUCUAUCCCAAAAGAAAAGGACCAGGGGAGAGGAUAGAGAUGUCUAAUGGGUCAACAACAUGAUACUGAUUGCACAAAUCAGGGUGAAAUCACAUUAAGGACUCCUAUGGGUCAUUAAAAGCCUUAAAAAUUGCAAUGACAUAAAUAAGUACUUACUGACUUUAGUCACUUUUGUUUUAAAUAAAUACAAAGCUGGAGCCUUUGAACAUGGAUAGCUAGGAGCAAGAGAAUGUUUAAACGAAAAGCAAUGGGAAUACUGACAUAGUCAGAAGAAAAAAACCUAAAAGGAAGUAAACAUCUCUGAAGCAUGUGCUUUUCAAACUGUCUACAAUAUAUACCAAGUUUAUUGAUAAAGAAUGCUACAAUCACUAAAAAAUUUAUUGCAUGGGGUUAGACCAAUGGCUCCACAGUUAAGAGCACUGGCUGCUCUCCCAGAGGACCUGGGUUCAGUUUCCAGCACCCACGUCUCAGCUCACAACUGUCUCUCACUCCAGCUGCAAGGGACCUGACAAGUUCACACAGACGUGCAUGCAGGCAAGUUCCUUUAGAGGAAGAGAGGUUCAAUUAAAAUAUGAGCAAUUCUCAUCCUUAAACAGUCUAAGAUUUGUCAGUCACGGAUGAUAGGAAUAAGAUAUAGACGGGGAAAUUGUAUAGAGCAGAGAUGGCGAUGGGGUCAGAAUGACAGCAUCUUCUGUGCGUACGAGCAGAAUUGAACAUGGAAAAGAUACAAGGAACCAGUGCUUCAGAGAGAGAGAAAGAGAGGUUUUCAGCACACAAUAAAGAUGGAAUGCUCAUGACGGACCCAUGAAAAAGGUCUCCACCAGAAUACUUGCUUCCCAGGCUGGAAUUCUCCAAGACAAGAGUCAACUAGCAAACAUCAAUGAAGCUACCACAGGAGGGACAAUGUGAGGGAUAGUGUGGAUUCCAAGGCCCUUAAACUUUGGUUCUACUCUGAAGGAAGGGGUUAUGAUGGAGGGUAAACGAUCCUUUGUGACCUGGGUUUCUAUCGCUACAGUGGGUAACUACCAGACCAGAACCCAAACCUCAAGAACUUGAGAGAUCCUGUAAGGACCAAAGGAUGACUUGACCAUUUGACCUUGAGCUCCACCACAGUCCUGGUCCGCCAUGCAUCUUGGGGACUUCACCAUACACUUUUCUUUAGAGGUCUGUGAUUCCAUUCAUGGCUCCUUUUCCCUCCAAAAGAAAGCCUGGGCACCUAGUUCUUUGUGCUAACUCCCCACAUAAAGCCACCAAGCCUGUGCGAAGUGUUGACACGCUUGCUUUAGAGACAAAACAGACACGCUCACCGGAGCCUUGUCCGUGAAAAGGGAAGGUUCUGACUCAGCUUUUUCCAGGAAACACAGGUGGAGUGUUCUAGAAAGGUUGUCUGAGUUAUGGGUAAGUGGAUUAAAUAGAUAACUAAAUAAAUAAACAGCAAGAAAGGAACACACACACUCACAUGCACACACACACACGCACACACACACACACACACUUAGCAGAGGGAAGGAAGAUGGUUCACAGAAAGGGGUGAGAAACUUUUUUUAAAAAAAGAAUCAAUAUAGAUUCUCCGUCAUCACCCAAAAUCCAUUGCUUUCCAGUGAACUAAGUACACACACACCCUUCUUGCCAGGUCCUAAGGAGUCCCUGGCAAUAACUACAAUAUGUACAACCAGAAUCCACUUCUCAGACAAUCUGGAAGCUGGCAGGGAUCCUAGAGCCACACCCUCACUCAGACAGGUACGGAACUCCCACUGACAGCAUGCCCCCUGACAGUAUAGGAAAAGACACGCACGCAGUGUUCUUGGAACCAGUCUACUCAUCUGUGGUGCGGCUAUCUAUUCAGUAGUUAAGAAGAUGGCGUACCUGGGACAAGUGGCCUUGUUCCACACCCUGACUCCCACCAUCGUGGAAGCAGGGUCUUCAUCAGAAGAAUGAUGGGACAUUUUUUUUUCUUUUCUUUCUUUUAGGAGCUGGGGGCCGAACCCAGGGCCUCAAGCGCUCUACCACUGAGCCAAAUUCCCAACCCCAUGAUGGGGCAUCUUAAAUGGACGAGGCAACACCCGGCACAGUCCUCUGGGGUUAUUAUUUUGUGCCCACUGAUGUCCUUUUUCUCAGUGUCAGGGAGGCGUUUUCCCUCACAGCACAUAAUCACAAUGCCACUUCAGCACCAAUGAAUGAAUCCAUGACUGAAUCAAUAUAAGUAUGACCUCUCAGAAGAGAGAGAGAGAGAGACAGAGAGAGAGAGAGAGAGGGAGGGAGAGAGAGAGAGAGGGAGAGAGAGAGAGGGAGGGAGGGAGGGAGAGAGAGGGAGAGAGGGAGAGAGAGGGAGGGAGGGAGAGAGAGAGAGAGAGGGAGAGAGGGAGAGAGGGAGAGACGGAGGGAGAGAGAGGGGGGGAGGGAGGGAGAGAGAGAGAGGGAGAGAGAGGGAGAGACAGAGGGAGAGAGAGAGGGAGAGAGGGAGAGAGAGGGAGAGACAGAGGGAGAGAGAGAGAGAGAGAGAGAGGGAGGGAGGGAGAGGGAGAGAGAGAGAGAGAGAGAGAGAGAGGUUCUGUCCCAAACCUGCCUCAUUCAGUGAAGGGCGUUCUCAGGCCACCCACCCUUUCCCUCUAGUCUGGCGGUGGUUUCCACUCUGGUUCCGUCCAAAUCUGUCUAUGUCCACCAUUCCCAGGGUCUGCAGUGUAACACAAACACCAAACCCUCUUUAGUCCCUUACAGAUUAGAUGUCACAGUACCAGGGUCUCUACCCUAUCAGGGUCUCUCUGUUUCUUUCAACACCGAUUCUUUCCUGCAGGACCUACACACAUUUCCCCCUUUUGCUCGUGUAGUCUACUCUCACUGCCACCUUCCACCAAUGCUCCAAAUCCCAAAUGCUUUUCGCUGCCGUGGACUCAUGAAAAAAUGUGCAGUCAUUUGGUUUAUCGUGGGAUGUUCCCAUUCGUGUAUACCAUGGACAGGCUUAGCCGAGACCCUCAAGAACUCAUUCUUUCGAUUGCUGUUCCUUUAAUGCACGCCUACACAGAUGAGAACAUUUAGAAUCUUCUAGACCAGCUAUUUUGAAAUACCCAAUUAAACCACGUCAGUCGUCAUCAGCCUACCCGUGCCACAGAACGUGGGAAGUCACCCCUCCUAUUCAACUGUAUCUUUUAUCCGUCUUCUAAUCAUUCUCAAAUGUCCAAGCAUGUGAUGCCCAGGUCCCUGCAAUCUUCCCAGGCACAGGUAAGGGCACCAUAAUUUUCGCUAGCCUUGACAUCUUUCCAUCGCACAGCCCCCUAGCAUUUAGAACUUCCCAGAAACAUGGAAACAUUUAAAAAAAAAAGUUGGAAGCCUUCACUUGCAUUUAAUCACAUAGAGGAUGCUCUCGAGGUCAUUUUUAAAUUAACAAUGAGUAGUUCCUCCUGCACCCUGAGAAACAAAAACUCCUGGUUCCUUGGACCCUGGGUCCCUUGGAAAUCCUCAGCACUGAGGGGAGGCACUGUCUGAAGUUGUGAUGCCUAGGCUGUAUGUUGCAAGGUUUCCACUUGCCAUCAGCAUGUAAGCAAUUAAAGGAAGGAAGGAAGGAAGGAAGGAAGGAAGGAUGGAAAGAAGGAGGGAGGGAAGAAAAAAGAAAAGAAAAGAAAGAAGAAAUACGGAAAGAAGAAAGGAGGGAGGAAGGAGGGAGGGUUGAGAGAGGGAGGGAGGAAAAAGGGAAGGAAGGAGGGAAGAAAGAAAAAAGAAAGGAAGGAAGGAAGGAAGGACGAAUGAGUGAACCAGCACUGUCUGUCAGGUUCUCUUCGUUGGGAUUCAGUUUGCUUUUCUAUUCCACCCUUCGAUGCUCAUUACACAACAAAACACCCAAGACAGAGAAACAGGAAAAAUCCACCCCAAGGUAAAACUCCACACUGACUUCAAAAGGAAACCCCCAAGAUAAAAUUGUAAAAACUUUUGAAGCCUUUUUGCUGGGUUGUAAGACACAUGCUAUACCAAAAUACCACCAUUUUGGGUCUAGAAUCUUUUUUUUUCUGGGUACAAAGGAAGUUAAAUGAAGGCCUUUGUAUAGCAAAGGCACCUGGGGAGGGACCCAGAGAACAAGCCCUAACCCCACAGCUUACAAGCAGCUGGAGGUAGUCUGCCAAGCCUUGCACAAGACACUACCACCCAGCACAGCCCUGCAGCUACUCCUCCAACUUGUGAGAGGAAAAAAGAAUUAGAAUAUAAACUUCAGAAAUGUAAGAGAAAGUAAAGACAGACACAUUAGAAAAUGGAGAGAGGGAGAGGGAGAGGGAGAGGGAGAGAGAGAGAGAGAGAGAGAGAGAGAGAGAGAGAGAGAAUGAAAUGUGGAGAGAGAAUGGAUAUCUUAGAAUGUGCUCUUUGGCAUUUUGAGACUUCAUGAAGUCAAUGGGUUGAAUAGUAGGCAGAGUGAGUAUGGGGAAGAGAGAGGCAAAGGCUCCCUCACAGGAAGAGUCAUUGUUCAGCCAAUCAAGACUAAGGAAUGAUCUGAUCUCUCCUCAGAACCCAGACUGGGAAUCACCUAGUUAUAAUAAAAAAAGAUGCCAUCUAUUGCUUAAAGGCACUAAAGUGUAUGGGGUAUUUUGUGGGAAAGGGUUAACACGAGUAUCACUGGGUAGGGCCAGGUUGUGACUCACUAGCAGAAUGUUUGCUUAGCCUGAGCGAAGCCCCAGGUUCUAACCUCAGCGCCAGGAAAUGAGCCAAUGAAUGAAUGAAUGAAUGAAUGAGUGAAUGAAUGAAUGAGUGAGUGAGUGAGUGAAUGAAUGAAUGAACACACUGUUAGGUAAACUAAAUCCUCAUUAACAUCCAUUCCACAAUCAAGUCUUUAAAGGUGUGUGUGUGUGUGUGUGUGUGUGUGUGUGUGUGUGUGUGUGUGUGUGAGAGCAAUGUGUGUACAGGUGUCUGUCAAGGCCAGAAGUGGGUAUCAGACAUCUUGGAUCUAGAAGUUACAGGCAGUUUGGAGCCACCCCAGGUGGAUGCUGUCAUGCCAACUCUGGUCCUCUGGCCUCGGUCAAUGAAUGCUUUUAACUGCUGAGCCAGUUCUCCCGUCUCCCACACAUCAACUUCAUAUGGCAUGGAAACCUUCUAACCCAUCGGAAAAAAAAAUCGCAACCAGAUUACUAUGUUCAGGAAAAGACCUUAUAUUCCCAAAGGAAGGAGUCUCUCUCAAGAGGUGGCCCUGGAGCUAGCUACUUUCUUAGCAAUCUGUGACAGUCACAACCUCAGUGACUUGACAACAAACCCCAAACACUUCUCUGUUUUCACAGUGAAACAUCAGAAGUAAUUUAGAAACAGCUCAGCCCACAACGUUACAAUAACCCAAAUUUCGGAGAAAUUAGGAAACAGCCCGUAGAAGUCCGUUUUGAAAUACGUCUGGUGAUGUGCUGUGAUAUGAUGACACUUUCUUUAACAGAAUGAAAAACAAGGCGUGAGGAAGAGCCCCUAGUGCUGGGAAAGACAUCCGAUCCACGGCCAAAUCCGAACAUGAACCAGACCCCUCUGACCACUGUACAGAAACCCAAAUCAUGCAUGAGCCACACUUCACGAAGCUCCCUGGGCCAACUCAGACACUGUUCCCACUGUGGGAUGGGCGGUUACUCACAGCUUUUUUCCUUUCUCCUCAGCUCCCAUGGCCUACCUUCCUCCACACGCCUAUAACCUCUACCAGAUGGCUGGUCUCCAGGUCCCAGAGGACACAAGCAGUCAGCAAACAAGAGAGUGUGAUCACUACCAGUCCUGGCUUCUGUGGACGGAAGUGCCCACCUCAAAGGUGGCCGUGAUGUAUGUGCCUUCUAGUAGGGGAAAGGCACUUCAUUCUCCCCUCUGAGCCCCUUGCCAAGGUCCAUGCUUCUUCCUCAAAGGCUAUUUUCCCACCAUCUAUAGACUGUCAGUUUCCACACAAGAAAAUGAGGCUCUGAUGAUCCCAGUUGUGACAACUGUUCUCAUGGGCUUUAUAAAGGACAGGAGGGGACAGUCGUGACAGCUCACACUUGUGUGAGGGUCUUGCUCAGCACUGCUGUGGCCCAUGGUCUUGUGCCACCACAGGGGGCUGGCUGAACACACUCUGUUAGAGUUUGUAGGGGUUACCGCCCUUCUCUGAGGUAAAUAAAAUGUGGGAAACUUCCAGGGUAGAGAAACUUCAAAGCCUGGGCAGAUGUUGGGAAAUCCACCGGCAUAGGAAACAGUGAGCUUCGAAUCACACUCUAGGACCCUGUCACUGUGUGUGUUCAGAUGUUUUCAACAUGGCAUUUAAUUUUCCAGAGGCACUUGAAUUGACACCCUCAGCCAACCUCACGUGGCAGGCUGUCACCGGCCCCGAUGGUGAGCCAGCUUACAGUAAACAAAACAGUCAGCCACGAGCAAGCGUCACUCUGGACUUUCACAGAAGAGAAUGUACUAGAAGGCCCCGGAAAGGAAGCAAAGCGCUGGAUCCAGCCUUUGCUCGAGCUGCUACCUCGGUGUGUGACGUUGGGCAACUCGCUUAAGACCUCUCUGGGCCUGGCUCACUCACUCUCCUCUUCUGAAAUCGGAUUGGGCCUAAGAUGAUCUAAGCUAUCGACUCCAGCCCUGGGGUCCCGACAUCCCAAGAGCGUACAUAAUUACAAGCAUCCGUUUAAUUGUGGGGUUGGAAGAGGGAAGGAACUUCUAGCAGAUGUCAGCCUUCUUCCUACAUGCCUUACUUAUACCAUGAGAGGUUAAGACAUUUCCACUCAUCAUGGUUCCAAACGUGGCUUUGCAGAAAUUAAUUAUGUUCAGAUAUACACACAUACAGCUGAGGCCUGGCUAGGUAAAUAAUAGAUAGUCAAUUACACCAAGCUACCAAGUCAGGAGGCGGCCUGAAAUGUGACAAAAUGCAUCUUAAGAUUUUCUACUUUAAAUUAUUUUGCAAUUUUUAGAGAUUCUGAGUAAUGUAGAGGCCAAACAUACUAAUGGGUAACAUUUUGUGAUAACGUCAAUAAAAAAUGCAUGAAUUAUC